rnacentral:lncRNA from 1 species
CGAUUGUGUUUCUUUAUUGAACCUAUAUAUUUGUGAGAGUUGGGGUGAUUAUAUAUCAUACCAAUAUUUGAUUGAUUGAGAUGCGUCAUGAUCCCCUUUUAUUGAAAUUGUAUUGUGCACAUGUAUUGACAUGAGAUUGGGUAUAAGUUGGGCAAGUGGAGAUCGUCUGUGCUGGGGAUUAUGAGAUGUUAUGAUUAUAAGUU